rnacentral:rRNA from 1 species
GUCCACGCCCUAAACUAUGAAUACUCGGUCUUGGCGAUAUACAGUCAGGGCCCAAGCGAAAGCGUUAAGUAUUCCACCUGGGAAGUACGUUCGCAAGAAUGAAACUCAAAGGAAUUGACGGGGGCCCGCACAAGCGGAGGAGCAUGUGGUUUAAUUCGAUGAUACGCGAGAAACCUUACCUGGGCUUGAAUGUGAGUGACCGGUGCCGAAAGGUACUUUUCCCGCAAGGGACACAAAACAAGGUGCUGCAUGGCUGUCGU